GACGAACGCUGGCGGCGUGCUUAACACAUGCAAGUCGAACGGAAAGGCCCUGCUUUUGUGGGGUGCUCGAGUGGCGAACGGGUGAGUAACACGUGAGUAACCUGCCCUUGACUUUGGGAUAACUUCAGGAAACUGAGGCUAAUACCGGAUAGGAGCUCCUGCUGCAUGGUGGGGGUUGGAAAGUUUCGGCGGUUGGGGAUGGACUCGCGGCUUAUCAGCUUGUUGGUGGGGUAGUGGCUUACCAAGGCUUUGACGGGUAGCCGGCCUGAGAGGGUGACCGGCCACAUUGGGACUGAGAUACGGCCCAGACUCCUACGGGAGGCAGCAGUGGGGAAUAUUGCACAAUGGGCGGAAGCCUGGUGCAGCAACGCCGCGUGCGGGAUGACGGCCUUCGGGUUGUAAACCGCUUUCGCCUGUGACGAAGCGUGAGUGACGGUAAUGGGUAAAGAAGCACCGGCUAACUACGUG
rnacentral:rRNA from 1 species